rnacentral:rRNA from 1 species
UACGUAGGGGGCAAGCGUUGUCCGGAAUUAUUGGGCGUAAAGCGCGCGCAGGCGGUCAUUUAAGUCUGGUGUUUAAUCCUAGGGCUCAACCCUGGGUCGCACUGGAAACUGGGUGACUUGAGUGACAGAAGAGGAAAGUGGAAUUCCACGUGUAGCGGUGAAAUGCGUAGAGAUGUGGAGGAACACCAGUGGCGAAGGCGACUUUCUGGGCUGUAACUGACGCUGAGGCGCGAAAGCGUGGGGAGCAAACAUGAUGA